UACGUAGGGUGCAGGCGUUAAUCGGAAUUACUGGGCGUAAAGCGUGCGCAGGCGGUUUGCUAAGAGAGAUGUGAAAUCCCCGGGCUUAACCUGGGAACUGCGUUUCUAACUGGCAGGCUUGAGUGUGGCAGAGGGGGGUGGAAUUCCACGUGUAGCAGUGAAAUACGUAGAGAUGUGGAGGAACACCGAUGGCGAAGGCAGCCCCCUGGGCUAACACUGACGCUCAUGCACGAAAGCGUGGGGAGCAAACAGG
rnacentral:rRNA from 1 species